UGUAUUUAUUAGAUUAAAAACCAAUGCCCUUCGGGGCUCCUUGGUGAUUCAUAAUAACUUAACGAAUCGCAUGGCCUUGUGCCGGCGAUGGUUCAUUCAAAUUUCUGCCCUAUCAACUUUCGAUGGUAGUAUAUGGGACUACCAUGGUUUCAACGGGUAACGGGGAAUUAGGGUUCUAUUCCGGAGAGGGAGCCUGAGAAACGGCUACCACAUCCAAGGAAGGCAGCAGGCGCGCAAAUUACCCAAUCCCGACACGGGGAGGUAGUGACAAUAAAUACUGAUACAGGGCUCUUUUGGGUCUUGUAAUUGGAAUGAGUACAAUUUAAAUCCCUUAACGAGGGACAAUUGGAGGGCAAGUCUGGUGCCAGCAGCCGCGGUAAUACCAGCUCCAAUAGCGUAUAUUAAAGUUGUUGCAGUUAAAAAGCUCGUAGUUGAACCUUGGGCCUGGCUGGCCGGUCCGCCUCACCGCGUGCACUGGUCCGGCCGGGUCUUUCCUCCUGGGGAGCCGCAUGCCCUUCACUGGGUGUGUCGGGGAACCAGG
rnacentral:rRNA from 1 species